rnacentral:rRNA from 1 species
CGAUAAAGCGGGUGAAAAGCCCGCUCGCCGGAAGACCAAGGGUUCCUGUCCAACGUUAAUCGGGGCAGGGUGAGUCGACCCCUAAGGCGAGGCCGAAAGGCGUAGUCGAUGGGAAACAGGUUAAUAUUCCUGUACUUGGUGUUACUGCGAAGGGGGGACGGAGAAGGCUAUGUUGGCCGGGCGACGGUUGUCCCGGUUUAAGCGUGUAGGCUGGUUUUCCAGGCAAAUCCGGAAAAUCAAGGCUGAGGCGUGAUGACGAGGCACUACGGUGCUGAAGCAACAAAUGCCCUGCUUCCAGGAAAAGCCUCUAAGCAUCAGGUAACAUCAAAUCGUACCCCAAACCGACACAGGUGGUCAGGUAGAGAAUACCAAGGCGCUUGAGAGAACUCGGGUGAAGGAACUAGGCAAAAUGGUGCCGUAACUUCGGGAGAAGGCACGCUGAUAUGUAGGUGAAGUCCCUCGCGGAUGGAGCUGAAAUCAGUCGAAGAUACCAGCUGGCUGCAACUGUUUAUUAAAAACACAGCACUGUGCAAACACGAAAGUGGACGUAUACGGUGUGACGCCUGCCCGGUGCCGGAAGGUUAAUUGAUGGGGUUAGCCGCAAGGCGAAGCUCUUGAUCGAAGCCCCGGUAAACGGCGGCCGUAACUAUAACGGUCCUAAGGUAGCGAAAUUCCUUGUCGGGUAAGUUCCGACCUGCACGAAUGGCGUAAUGAUGGCCAGGCUGUCUCCACCCGAGACUCAGUGAAAUUGAACUCGCUGUGAAGAUGCAGUGUACCCGCGGCAAGACGGAAAGACCCCGUGAACCUUUACUAUAGCUUGACACUGAACAUUGAGCCUUGAUGUGUAGGAUAGGUGGGAGGCUUUGAAGUGUGGACGCCAGUCUGCAUGGAGCCGACCUUGAAAUACCACCCUUUAAUGUUUGAUGUUCUAACGUUGACCCGUAAUCCGGGUUGCGGACAGUGUCUGGUGGGUAGUUUGACUGGGGCGGUCUCCUCCUAAAGAGUAACGGAGGAGCACGAAGGUUGGCUAAUCCUGGUCGGACAUCAGGAGGUUAGUGCAAUGGCAUAAGCCAGCUUGACUGCGAGCGUGACGGCGCGAGCAGGUGCGAAAGCAGGUCAUAGUGAUCCGGUGGUUCUGAAUGGAAGGGCCAUCGCUCAACGGAUAAAAGGUACUCCGGGGAUAACAGGCUGAUACCGCCCAAGAGUUCAUAUCGACGGCGGUGUUUGGCACCUCGAUGUCGGCUCAUCACAUCCUGGGGCUGAAGUAGGUCCCAAGGGUAUGGCUGUUCGCCAUUUAAAGUGGUACGCGAGCUGGGUUUAGAACGUCGUGAGACAGUUCGGUCCCUAUCUGCCGUGGGCGCUGGAGAACUGAGGGGGGCUGCUCCUAGUACGAGAGGACCGGAGUGGACGCAUCACUGGUGUUCGGGUUGUCAUGCCAAUGGCACUGCCCGGUAGCUAAAUGCGGAAGAGAUAAGUGCUGAAAGCAUCUAAGCACGAAACUUGCCCCGAGAUGAGUUCUCCCUGACUCCUUGAGAGUCCUGAAGGAACGUUGAAGACGACGACGUUGAUAGGCCGGGUGUGUAAGCGCAGCGAUGCGUUGAGCUAACCGGUACUAAUGAACCGUGAGGCUUAACCU